UUGGCAGAAGCCAAAAAGAGGCCUAUCACUGUUAAUGAUAAAAUUGAAAUUUUUUCCUGUCAAA
rnacentral:tRNA from 1 species